rnacentral:tRNA from 1 species
GGGCACUUGGCGCAGUUGGUAGCGCGUGCGCUUCGCAUCCAGCAUGUGUGCGCAAGGUCGAGGUUUCAAAUACCUCAGUGUCCA